rnacentral:rRNA from 1 species
GACGAACGCUGGCGGCGUGCUUAACACAUGCAAGUCGAACGGAAACGCCCUGCCUUUGUGGGGUGCUCGAGUGGCGAACGGGUGAGUAACACGUGAGUAACCUGCCCUUGACUUUGGGAUAACUUCAGGAAACUGGGGCUCAUACCGGAUAGGAGCUCCUGCUGCAUGGUGGGGGCUGGAAAGUUUCGGCGGUUGGGGAUGGACUCGCGGCUGAUCAGCUUGUUGGUGGGGUAGUGGCUUACCAAGGCUUUGACGGGUAGCCGGCCUGAGAGGGUGACCGGCCACAUUGGGACUGAGAUACGACCCAGACUCCUACGGGAGGCAGCAGUGGGGAAUAUUGCACAAUGGGCGGAAGCCUGAUGCAGCAACGCCGCGUGCGGGAUGACGGCCUUCGAGUUGUAAACCGCUUUCGCCUGUGACGAAGCGUGAGUGACGGUAAUGGGUAAAGAAGCACCGGCUAACUACGUG